rnacentral:lncRNA from 1 species
CUCACCAUUUAAGAGAAAGAAGGAAAGGUAAAGAGAGAAAGAGAGAGAAAGGGAUUUGUUCUCUGCCUUAUUCAUACAUUAGCUCUCUGCAAAGGCACAAAGCAGAAGGAGCAGCAUCAGCAACCUUGCAAGCAGUGACUCUGUUUCCAAUUAAUAUGAUCUGAGCUACUUUGAGAAGCCAAUUUAUUACUUACACAUAUCACACUUGAGCUCUGCUGAAAACUGGAUGUGCCAAGCACACCUUUGCUUCUGAUUUAUACAUAAAGACUUGCAUCUUUCACAGAACAAACCUUAUCAGGAGAGACUCAACCAAGGCAGGCUGCAUCCUCAUCUGCUGGUGGAGGAUCCCAAGGACCCGUUCCCCAGUGGGACUGACUCAGGUCCUUAAAGAGAAACACAAGUGUGAAAGAGAAGAGCCAUGGAUCCAUUGGAAGUUAAACCAGGUGCAUUUAAAGUUGUGGGAAGACUGUUGGAUUAUGAAAGCUGACUGAGGAGUCUGCCUAAGUAUCAAAAAGAUGUCUUUAUGUUAUGCCCUGUUUUCUACUGCCUUUUACUGAGGAACUGGA